GUGAGCCCUGAUGGCUCAUGAUGCAGUUCAGGUUGUGUGUCUGUAAGCUGAGCUUCGGCGUUGUGACGACCGACAGGUGGAGAAAGAGAAGCUGCUGCUCCUUUUCCUGUCGAGCUUCACCGCUUCAGCAGCAGAACCACUGAGGAGCAAGGUGCUGCAGGGCCUAGUCAAAGUCCACAACUCCACUGAUCAUGAUUUAAGGAGGAAACUUCAUUUAAAAAAGCCCAGAAUAAAGUAUAGAGAUGAAUCUUCAUGGAUUAAAGAAACAAACAGCUGCAUCAACAAUCCAUGGCGCCAUCUGGGUUCUGGACGGGUCCCAUCAGUCAUCAGAACCAUUUGUUUUCAUCCAAUCAGUCGCCUCUGAAUCACUAGCAACCAAUCAGCUUCCUGAUAGCCGCUUUGCUGCGGCAUCAAUAACCUGCAGCGCUGAUUAAACACCGGCGCCACUCUAACCCACAAGUUACUCAUCUGAUCAGAACCAGAACCAGAUCUGACAGCAUCACCGUGUCUAAACUAAAACGUUAGCUGUGCUAACAAUAAAGUGCUAAUCAUAAACAUUAGUCUGAAGGACGCUAAAGCGCUACACUAUCACAGCAUUUAGUGGAGGCUAACAUUAAAAUGCUAAUUGUAAACAUUAGUUCAGCUAAAAUGCUAAACCAACACAGGACUUAACUGAAGCUAGUGCUAAAUGCUAGUAGUUCCAUUAACGUGUUACACCAAAGACAGGAUUUAAAGCAAGCUAACAUGAAAGCACUAAUCAUAAACACUGGUUCUAAGGUUGUUAAAGUGUAAUAACAGGAUUUACCAGAAGCUAAUGCUAGAUGCUAAUCAUCAACAUUAGCUCUGCUAAUGAUAAACUGCUACAUCAACACAGUAUUUCAUGUAGACUAAUUCUAAAGUGCUAAUCAUGAACAUUUGCUUAGCUAAAGUGCAACACCUACAAAGGAAUCAACAGAAGCUAAUGCUAACGUGCUAAUGCAUCCAUCUAUUAAUCACUCAAAUUUUAUUUGUAUAGCACAUUUCAGCAACAAGAAAUUUCAAAGUGCUUUACAUCAUAAAACACAAAAACACAGAAUCAUGCAACAUUGAAUAAACAAUCAAAAACAUUAAAUUUCCUGCCGAGUCGAAGUUCUGCCCUUCAAAUCGGCAGGAAA